GUUUCUCAAAGCGUGUUGGAGAGAAGGGUUUUGGGCAAAGGAGGGGUGAUUAGACGAGGCGUUGUAAAAUACAAGCAGGUAACUGUUCCCUGUUACAAUGGUGUCACAAUCUGAACAAUGACAGUGUUGUGUAGAAAUUGCACCAUGACUCAGAAAAAUGGACAUGGUACAGAUAGAAGUCAAUGGUCAGGAUGGAUCUUGGAUUUUUGCAGUGGGAGACUUCUAGUAACACCGUCAUCUAACCAUCAGUAUAUACAGGUAAGGGUUAGAGACUAUCACUUCCAUCUUUGGCCAAAUUAGAAAACUCCUGUGGAUUGAAGUCUGGGUUUAAAUCUCAGGGUGGAAGCAAGAAAUCACAGUUGGUAUUGUGAAAAGGAUGCCUAAAAAGCAAUUAUUGUAGACAACUUGUUCAUGAAAGUCUCAUCUGUAGCCACAGCGGGAAAAACAAAAGUAGCAGAUGUCUCUACAAGAACAAAAGUAAAACAUUACAAAAGCAGGGGAAAGAUGAAUAAGAGAAGUCGUCUAUGGAAUUUUAUCUUCCUAGAUCUAAUUAGUCUGGGAAACCAGCCAAGAAAAGAAAAAGUAGUGAGGCAGGACUGAAAAGGCUCCCCUUUGUAACAAAAAUGGAAGUAAGCCCAGGGCAGUAAUUGGCAAUGAAAAUUUAUGGGUAGAAAAUUCUGGGAUAUUUUGUCCACUUAAAAAGGAAAUCCUGCAAUGAUGCUACUUGUGGUUCUACAGAAUGACAGGACUGGCUUACCAAAACAUAUCCAUGAAAAUCAUUGCAUGGGACAAGAAAAAAAAAGAAAAAGAUUACUUUGACUAGGACUAACCAGGAUAUGGAAAUUCAUUAGCGAUCCUAAUCAGAGUAUUGGAAUAAGAAAGUCAAGAGGAAAUGGGACAAGGCUACCAUAAUUCUAAUGGUCCUUAUGCCAACUAGAGAGAACUAACAUAUCUGUGACAGAAUUAGAAGAUACACUAUUUAUUAAAAUUCAAAAUGGAAGAAGAAACUGUGAAAUAAACUAUGAUAACAUGGGCGAUAAAUUUUGGGUAUAGUAUAGAAUUAGCAGAAUGGGAAAAAAAUUGGGAAAUAAAUUACAAAUUAACGAUGGCAACGGCAUAUAGAAAGAACAUGUACAAGAUGUUCUAUCGAUGGCACCUUCCACCAGCGAGAAUUGCGAAAAUGUUCCCGGAGUGUUCACCUGUCUGUUGAAAAUGCAACCAACAACAUGGAACAUACUACCAUAUGUGGUGGACAUGCACAUCUGCGAAAAAGUAUUGGAAAAAAAAUAAAAGAUUGGCUAGGGGAGAUUACUACACACAAAAUUGCACUAAAACCUGAAUUGUUUUUG